rnacentral:lncRNA from 1 species
AGUGGAUAAUUUAGAAGGGAUCAUUGGAAGGUGUAAUGUCCAGCGGGUGUAAACAAGCCUCUGAUCAAACCCAAAAGCAAAUAUGUCAUAUGUAAAACUCCCUCUAUUUCUUAAAAAUAUCAUAUCAUUCUCGGCAAUAUAGUUAUCUGAGCAAAAAGUCAUCCAUUCUCCUUCAAAACAACGGUUUCUGAUUUCUAAGUUCCACCGAGCCAAGCCAUGCUGAACAACUAUAGUUUGUCCAUGUUGAAAACGGUUGGAUUCAAACAUAUCAUCGGGUAUUUCCUGGAGAAAGCAAAAAA